rnacentral:rRNA from 1 species
UACAGAGGGUGCGAGCGUUAAUCGGAAUUACUGGGCGUAAAGCGUGCGCAGGCGGUUGUGCAAGACAGAUGUGAAAUCCCCGGGCUUAACCUGGGAAUGGCAUUUGUGACUGCACGGCUAGAGUGUGUCAGAGGGGGGUAGAAUUCCACGUGUAGCAGUGAAAUGCGUAGAUAUGUGGAGGAAUACCGAUGGCGAAGGCAGCCCCCUGGGAUAACACUGACGCUCAUGCACGAAAGCGUGGGGAGCAAACAGG